rnacentral:tRNA from 1 species
GUGUUGUGGCUCAGUGGUAGAGUGCUCGCCUAGCACGUAGAAGGCCCUGGGUUCCAUCCUCAGUACCAUACA